rnacentral:lncRNA from 1 species
GUGGUAUUCUUUAUCCUUACCAAAAGAUACCUGACCUUGCUUCAUGGAAUAUUUGCACUUUUACACAGACAAAAGGCUUAAACUUGUAAGAGGAUAGAAUUUUGAGAUAGAAUUUUGUCACUUCAUUUGGACGUACCCAGAUACAUGGAAUUCAGCAGAUGAUAGAAUGGCCUCUCCAGAACCUUCUGGAGGUCUCAUGUGACCGUGAAACCUGGCAACUCAGGGGAUUCAUACUCCCAAAAUUGGGAAAUAUCUGCUGGUCUCUUCAUGUAUUAUGGGAGUGGAACUUUAAUUUGGCUGUGUACAAAUCACUAAACCAGGUGAUUGGGUUCAGAUAUUGAGGGAUCACCUGAACAGAGGCUAAAGAAUAGAAUUCUGAGAUAAACAGCCAGAGGGGUAAGGAAGAGGAGCUGAAGAAUGGGCAUCAGAUGCUGUCUGGUAAAUCUUGGGUUCUUGAUCAUGCAUGUCAAGAGGGACUUCUAAUUUUCGGGUUGCUGAGUUUACUUUGAAAUUAAUACACAUCUCAAAUUUUGAUUGAGUUUCCUACUCACCCUCAACUUUUAAUCUUUUUAUGAGAAAGUAUCCUUAGGGAAGAACUAAAUCCCAGGUGCCUACCACAUAAUCAGAUUUUUUUCAACCUGAGGGGAAAAUUCUUAAAGACACCCUCACUUCUUUGUAAUCCCAUCCAGAAAUUGAUACAUCUGGAUGUAGGGGAAGCCCUUCUUAUAUUUGCUUUCCUUUAAACUUAUAAACAGGCCUAUUUCCCUAACCCACCAGGCUCCCAUCACCUGUGGGAUUGUCAAAUUGUCAGGGAAUAACCCCUGACUUCUUGCCUUGUUCUGAGAAUAGAACAAGGUGAUGAGAUUGAGCCAUGGGGGUGGAACAGAUGGAUUGCUCCUAUCUAUUUCCACAUAAAAAAAAUUUCAACCAC